rnacentral:rRNA from 1 species
ACGGAAGGCAGCAGUGAGGAAUAUUGGUCAAUGGGCGAGAGCCUGAACCAGCCAAGUCGCGUGAGGGAUGACGGUUCUAUGGAUUGUAAACUUCUUUUGUUCGAGGAUAAAGUGACUUACGUGUAGGUUAUUGCAAGUAUCUAACGAAUAAGCAUCGGCUAACUCCGUGCCAGCAGCCGCGGUAAUACGGAGGAUGCGAGCGUUAUCCGGAUUUAUUGGGUUUAAAGGGUGCGUAGGCGGGAUGUUAAGUCAGCGGUUAAAUAGUGGAGCUCAACCUUACCUUGCCGUUGAAACUGGUGUUCUUGAGUGUAAACGAGGUAGGCGGAAUGUGACGUGUAGCGGUGAAAUGCUUAGAUAUGUCACAGAACCCCGAUUGCGAAGGCAGCUUACUAGGAUACAAUUGACGCUGAGGCACGAAGGCGUGGGUAUCAAACAGGAUUAGAUACCCUGGUA